ACGUACUCAGAGACAGCAGCAUGGGAAAUACGUAGGGUGCAAGCGUGAAUCGGAAUUACUGAGCGUAAAGCGGUCGCAAGCAGCUUAUUAAGUCAGAGUUGGAAUCCCUAGGCUCAACCUAGGAAAUGAAUUUGAAACUAAUAAACUAGAGUAUCGUAGAGGGAGGUAGAAUUCCAGGUGUAGCGGUGAAAUGCGUAGAUAUCUGGAGGAAUACCAGUGGCGAAGGCGACCUCCUGGACGAAAACUGACGCUCAAGCACGAAAGCAUGGGGAGCAAACAGGAUUAGAUACCCCAGUAGUC
rnacentral:rRNA from 1 species